GAUGAACGCUGGCGGCGUGCCUAAUACAUGCAAGUCGAGCGGUAAGGCUCUGCACUUAUUAUUUGAUCAAGACAGUACAAUCUGUCGCUCUAUGUUUAUGGCUUAAGCGUAGUGAUCGAAUACUGAGUGUAGAGUACACGAGCGGCGGACGGCUGAGUAACGCGUAGGAAUGUACCCCAAAGUGAGGGAUAACUGCUCGAAAGAGUAGCAAUACCGCAUGUGCUCUAAGGAGUAAAGCUUCGGCGCUUUGGGAACAGCCUGCGUCUGAUUAGCUUGUUGGUGAGGUAAAAGCUCACCAAGGCGACGAUCAGUAGCUGGUCUGAGAGGAUGAUCAGCCAGACUGGGACUGAGACACGGCCCAGA
rnacentral:rRNA from 1 species